CCUACGGGUGGCAGCAGUGAGGAAUAUUGGUCAAUGGGCGGGAGCCUGAACCAGCCAUGCCGCGUGAAGGCGAGUGCCCUACGGGCGUUAAACUUCUUUUGUGCGGGAGCAAUAAGGGCCACGUGUGGCCCGAUGAGAGUACCGCACGAAUAAGCAUCGGCUAACUCCGUGCCAGCAGCCGCGGUAAUACGGGGUAUGCGAGCGUUAUCCGGAUUUAUUGGGUUUAAAGGGUGCGCAGGCGGUCUGUUAAGUCAGCGGUCAAAACCCGGGGCUCAACCCCGUCCCGCCGUUGAAACUGGCAGUCGCGAGUGGGAGAGAAGUAUGCGGAAUGCGCGGUGUAGCGGUGAAAUGCAUAGAUAUCGCGCAGAAAUCCGAUUGCGAAGGCAGCAUGCCGGCUCCACACUGACGCUGAGGCACGAAAGCGUGGGUAUCGAACAGGAUUAGAUACCCCAGUAGUC
rnacentral:rRNA from 1 species